GGAUGUUUUGCUCACAAGCUUGUGCUUGUUGCUUAGACGUAGUCCCAUGACCCUCAAGUGAAUGCUGAUGGGUAUGUACAGGACAUGCAAGGAAGAUGCAGAGAGGAAAGAGAGGGCUGGUGACCACAACUGGACUAGGAACAAAGGCCCCCAAAAUUCAGAGUUCCUGGGACUGUUCCCCGAGAGAGAGGAUGUACAAAUCUGAUAAAAACUGAGGUGUGUGGGAACUUAGGUUGAUCUAUGUACCAAAUCAUUGAGAUGUCCUGAAAAUGGUGCUGGGGAAGUUGAGGGAGAGGGAGAGAAGGAAAACCAGAAAAAGGACCAGAUAUCUAAAAGUUUCUCUUUAGAACUAUACCCUCAUGCUCUUAGGAUAUUUCUGCACUGACCCCAUCUGUCAUCAAAGUAGGCUCUGGAAAAGCAUAAAAAUAUUUAAAUAUUAAUUGCAACAUGAAGUCUACUUAAAAGAAGGCAAUUUGACUAGAAAAAUAUACCAUAAGACAAGUGUCACGAUUUUAAAGUGGUGUAAUGAAAAGCAGAGUUUGGAGGCAUAUAUUUAUUAUUUCAUAGCCAGAUUCCUGUGACUUACUAGUUGAGCGACUCUGAGCAAGUGACUGAAUCUUUAUGCGACUCUAUAAAACAGAAAUAAUACCUUAUAAGUUGGCAUGGGAAGCUCCGAGCCUCAAUUUUCUCAUUUUUAAAAUGGGAAUAACAGUACCCACCCUCAUUGGACCAUUGUUAAGAGUUUAUAUAUGUAAAAUACUUAGAAUAAUGUUUAAUGCAUAGUAUUAAAUAGGGGUUAGUUAUAAAGCUAAUGUAUUUUGCUAAUAAAUUUGCUAAUAAAUAUAUAAUAAAGCUAAUAUAUUUUGCCCAUAGUGCAUGUAUUAUUCUCUGAAAUUAUCUUGGUUUUUUUUUAAGUUCACAAGGCAGGUGCUUUGUGCUUAGUUUACCCCAUGAUUGAGAAUAGUACCCGGCACGCAGUUGUACUUCACGGCACCUUUCUCCACAUCACUGCAAUUACUCUUUCAAGGUCACCAAUGACCAUCACGCUGCCAAAUCUGAAAGACAACCCAUUCUCCACUCAGCACCUUGGAUGAGUCCUUUAUAAUUGAAUUAACUCAUACUCUUCUGUUUAAUACACUUAGAUGGAUAGCCUUGCCUUUAGAUUAAAUCAGAAGUCCUUUCCACGAUUUACAUGUCCUUUAUGAUCUGGCCCUUCGACCUCUUAUGUCAGUGUCUACAUUUCAGUGCCACCAGCUCUGAGUCAGUUCCCAGAUCUCGCUGUGCUCUUUCAGCCUGAGGGCCUUUGCAUUUGUUGUGUUCUCUGCCUGGUAUACGCUCUCCAAGCUGCUUACAUAGCUCCUCCUCCAUAUUGUACAGUAAGUAGUUAGGAACACAGUUUUUGAAAUCAAACUGACUGGUUUCCAGUUCAGGCUGUUCCACUUACUACCUGUGUGAGGCAAGUUACUUAACCUCUGUGUACCUCAAUUUCCUUACCUUAAAGAAGGGGGGGGAAAUUAUGUUCCUCCUUAUGUUGCUGAAGAAUGCCAGUUAAUAUAAAGUGCUUGGAACUGUGCCUGGUACCAGGCAGGCACCACAUUGAUCAUCUUUCAGCUGAAAUACGGACUCUUCAGAGACCCUGUUUUUAAUCAGAGCACCCUGUACUCAUCACAAUCUGUAAAUAUUUUGUGUUUACUCUUUGUGCUCCAUGAAGACUGGGAAGUUGUCUUAUUUACUAUUGUAUGCUCAGCACCAGCACAAUGCUUGAUAAUAAAUAUAUACUGAAUGAUUAGAAGUUAUUUUUAUUGCCACCCUCAAGGAAGGUCAGGUGCUGUGCCAAGGUGGAAAAGACAAGAGCUGGGAUUGUACCAAUGUUCCAACCACCUAACUCAGCUGAGUGGUGAAUAGCUAUGCGGUGUUCCAUAAACAAAUAGGCAUGCCACUAGUAUUCUCUUCAUCCAGGCCUUACUCAGUUGGGUCUCCUAAGGUUGCACCUCCUGUAGGAAGCUCCCUCUGCACACACACCCCGUGGCUUCGCUGGAGCUCCCAGGGCAACAGCAGAGGGCCUCACCUCAGAGAAGUCAGAAUGGAAGUAUGUGAGGACCAGGGCGGUGUGGUCAGUUUGUCUUCACUUGGCGAGACUGCCUCUCCCUGCUGCAGGGAUUCAUGAAAUCGGCGGAUAUUCUGCACAUGCUCUUCAUGCCGUGAUGCCUGGCUUCUUGAAACACUUCUGUCAGGAAUAAAUGGGGGCAAAUAAAUUUCCAUCCAAUGAGAAAACUCCUCGUGUGACAAUAAACAAAUCACCUUCCUGAAAUGGUAUUGCAAAUCCA